rnacentral:rRNA from 1 species
GAUGAACGCUAGCGAUAGGCUUAACACAUGCAAGUCGAGGGGCAGCAUGGUCUUAGCUUGCUAAGACUGAUGGCGACCGGCGCACGGGUGCGUAACGCGUAUGCAACUAGCCUCACAGAGGGGGAUAACCAGUCAAACGAAGGCCUAUACCGCCGUACACCUGGGAUAGAGAACCCGGACCCUUGGAACCGAACUUCGCUGUGUGAUCGGCAUGCGUCUCAUUAGCUAGUUGGUGAGGGAACGGCCCACCAAGGCGACGCUGGGUAGGGGAACUGAGAGGUUGAACCCCCACACUGGUACUGCGACACGGACCACACUGCUACGGGAGGCAGCAGUGAGGAAUAUUGAUCGAGGAGCGAGGGCCUGAACCAGCCAAGUCGCUUGAAGGAUGACUGUCGUAUUGAUUGUAAACUUCUGUUAUACGAAAAUAACAAGAGCCACCUGUGGCUCCCUGCAGGUACCGUAUGAAUAAGCAGCGGCUAACUCCGUG